rnacentral:rRNA from 1 species
AUUGAACGCUGGCGGCAGGCUUAACACAUGCAAGUCGAGCGGGGACUUCGGUCCUAGCGGCGAACGGAUGAGGGAUGCUUGGGAAUCUGCCCAGUAGCGGGGGAUAACGUUUCGAAAGGAACGCUAAUACCGCAUACGCCCUACGGGGGAAAGGGGGGGAUCUUCGGACCUCUCACUAUUGGAUGAGCCCAAGUCGGAUUAGCUAGUUGGUGGGGUAAAGGCCUACCAAGGCGACGAUCCGUAGCUGGUCUGAGAGGAUGAUCAGCCACACUGGAACUGAGACACGGUCCAGACUCCUACGGGAGGCAGCAGUGGGGAAUAUUGGACAAUGGGCGAAAGCCUGAUCCAGCCAUGCCGCGUGUGUGAAGAAGGCCUUCGGGUUGUAAAGCACUUUAAGCGAGGAGGAAUGGCUCUUGGUUAAUAACCUUGAGCAGUGACGUUACUCGCAGAAUAAGCACCGGCUAACUCUGUGCCAGCCGCCGCCGUAAAAC